UCAACAUUUUCAUCAUUCCCGCAAUUCAAUCAAAUUUCAUGGGUUUAACAACAACAUUUUCAUUAUUCACACAAUUCAAUCAAAUUUCAUGGGUAUAACAUCAAUAUUUCAUCAUUUCCUUAAUUCAAUCAAAUUUUAUAGGUUUAACAACAACGUAUUUAUCAUUCACACGAUCCAAUAUAAUUUCCUAUGUUUACCAACAUCAUUUUCAUCAUGCACACAAUUCAAUUCAAUUUCAAGGGUUUAACAACAACAUUUUCAUCAUUCCCACAAUUCAAUCAAAUUUCAUGGGUUUAACAUCAUCUUUUUCAUUAUUCCCACAAUUCAAUCAAAUUUCAUGGGUUUAACAUCAUCAUUUUUAUCAUUCCCAUAAUUCAAUCAAAUCUUAGGGGUUUAACAAUAAUAUUUUCAUUAUUCACACAAUUCACUCAAAUUUCAUGGGUUUAACAAUAACAUUUUCAACAUUCCCACAAUUCAAUCAAAUUUCAUGGGUUUAACAACAACAUUUUCAUUAUUCACACAAUUCAAUCAAAUUUCAUGAGUUUAACAUCCACAUUUCAUCAUUCCAACAAUUCAAUCAAAUUUCAAAAGUUUAACAACAAUGUUUUCAUCAUUCACACAAUCCAAUCAAAUUUCCUAGGUUUAACAACAUUUUCAUCAUUCCCACAAUUCAAUCAAAUUUCAUGGGUUUAACAUCAACAUUUUCAUCAUUCACACAAUUCAAUCCAAUUUCAUGGGUUUAACAUCAACAUUUCAUCAUUUUCAAAAUUCAAUCAAAUUUCAUAGGUUUAACAACAACGUUUUCAUCAUUCAUACAAUUCAAUCAAAUUUCAAAGGUUUAACAACAAUAUUUUCAUCAUUCACACAAUUCAAUCAAAUUUCAUGGGUUUAAUAACAACAUUCUCAUCAUUCCCAUAAUUCAAUCAACUUUCAUGGGUUUAACAUCGACAUUUUCAUCAUUCCCACAAUUCAAUCAAAUUUCAUGGGUUUAACAUCAUCAUUUUCAUCAUUCCCACAAUUCAAUCUAAUUUCAUGGGUUUAAAAUCAAGAUUUACAUCAUUCCCACAAUUAAAUCAAAUUUCAUGGGUUUAACAACAACAUUUUCAUCAUUCACACAAUUCAAUCAAAUUUUAUGGGUUUAACAACAAUUUUUUUAUCAUUCACAUAAUUCAAUCAAAUUUCAUGGUUUUAACAACAAUAUUUUCAUUUAUUCCCAUAAUUCAAUCAAACUUCAUGGGUUUAACUUUAUAUUUACAUCAUUCCCACAAACCAAUCAAAUCUUAUGGGUUUAACAAUAAUAUUUUCAUUAUUCACACAAUUCACUCAAAUUUGAUGGGCCUAACAAUAACAUUUUCAUCAUUCCCACAAUUCAAUCAAAUUUCAUGGGUUUAACAACAACAUUUUCAUUAUUCACACAAUUCAAUCAAAUUUCAUGAGUUUAACAUCCACAUUUCAUCAUUUCCACAAUUCAAUCAAAUUUCAUAAGUUUAACAACAAUGUUUUCACAUGAGUUUAACAUCCACAUUUCAUCAUUUCCACAAUUCAAUCAAAUUUCAUAAGUUUAACAACAAUGUUUUCAUCAUUCACACAAUCCAAUCAAAUUUCCUAGGUUUACCAACAUUUUCAUCAUGCACAGAAUUCAAUUAAACUUCAAGGGUUUAACAACAACAUUUUCAUUAUUCCCACUAUUCAAUCAAAUUUCAUGGGUUUAACAUCAUCAUUUUCAUCAUUCCCACAAUUCAAUCAAAUUUCAUGGGUUUAACAUCAUCGUUUUUAUCAUUCCCACAAUUCAAUCAAAUUUCAUGGGUUUAACAUCAGCAUUUUCAUCAUUCCUACCAUUCAAUCGAAUUUCAUGGGUUUAGCAUCAACAUUUUCAUCAUUCCCACAAUUCAAUCAAAUUUCAUGGGUUUAACAUCAUAUUUUCAUCAUUUCCAUAAUUCAAUCAAAUUUCAUAGGUUUAACAACAAAGUUUUCAUCAUUCACACAAUCCAAUCAAAUUUCAUAGGUUUAACAACAACAUUUUCAUCAUGCACACAAUUCAAUUAAAUUUCUUGGGUUUAACAACAACAUUUUCAUCAUUCACACAAUUCAAUCAAAUUUCGUGGGUUUAACAUCAACAUUUUCAUCAUUCCAAAAUUCAAUCAAAUUUCAUGGGUUUAGCAACAACAUUUUCAUCAUUCACACAAUUCAAUCAAAUUUCAUGGAUUUAACAGCAUAAUUUUCAUCAUUCCCACAAUUCAAUCAAAUUUCAUGGGUUUAACCUCACAUUUUCAUCAUUCCCACAAUUCAAUCAAAUUUUAUGGGUUUAACAAUAACAUUUUCAUUAUUCACACAAUUCAAUCAAAUUUCAUGGGUUUAACAUCAACAUUUUCAUCAUUCCCGCAAUUCAAUCAAAUUUCAUGGGUUUAACAACAACAUUUUCAUUAUUCACACAAUUCAAUCAAAUUUCAUAAGAGAGAUAUGAAAUUUGAUUGAAUUAUGGAAAUGAUGCAAAUGUUGAUUGUUAUACCNNNNNNNNNNNNNNNNNNNNNNNNNUGAUUGAUGUUAAACCAUGAAAUUUGAUUGAAUAGUGGAAUGAUGAAAAUGUUGUUGUUUAAACCUUGAAAUUAAUUGAAUUGUGUGCAUGAUGAAAAUGUUGGUAAACCUAGGAAAUUUGAUUGGAUUGUGUGAAUGAUGAAACAUUGUUGUUAAACUUAUGAAAUUUCAUUGAAUUGUGGAAAUGAUGAAAUGUGGAUGCUAAUCAUGAAUUUGAUUGAAUUGUGGAAUAAUGAAAAAGAUGAUGUUAAACCCAUUUGAUUGUGUGGAUGAUUGAAAAUGUUUGUUGGUUAAACCAAUGAAAUAUGAGUGAAUUGUGUGAAUGAUGAAACAUUGUUUUUAAACUCAUGAAAUUAAUUGAAUUGUUAAAUGAUAAAAUGUGGAUGUUUAAACUCAUGAAAUUUGAUUAAAUUGUGUGAAUAAUGAAAAUGUUGUUGUUAACCCAUGAAAUUUGAUUGAAUUGUGGGAAUGAUGAAAAUGUUAUUGUUAACCCAUGAAAUUUGAGUGAAUUGUGUGAAUAAUGAAUAUUAUUGUUAACCCAUAAGAUUUGAUGAUUAUGGCGAUGAAUGAUGAAUGUUUUUUUAACCCUUUGAAAUCGAAUGAAUCUCUCUUCAAGGGUUUAACAACAACAUUUUCAUCAUUCCCACAAUUCAAUCAAAUUUCAUGGGUUUAACAUCAUCUUUUUCAUUAUUCCCACAAUUCAAUCAAAUUUCAUGGGUUUAACAUCAUCAUUUUUAUUAUUCCCACAAUUCAAUCAAAUUUCAUGGUUUUAACAUCAACAUUUUCAUCAUUCCUACCAUUCAAUCGAAUUUCAUGGGUUUAGCAUCAACAUUUUCAUCAUUCCCACAAUUCAAUCAAAAUUCAUGGGUUUAACAUCAACAUUUCAUCAUUUCCAUAAUUCAAUCAAAUUUCAUAGGUUUAACAACAACGUUUUCAUCAUUCACACAAUCCAAUCAAAUUUCAUAGGUUUAACAACAACAUUUUCAUCAUGCACACAAUUCAAUUAAAUUUCAUGUGUUUAACAACAACAUUUUCAUCAUUCACACAAUUCAAUCAAAUUUCAUGGGUUUAACAUCAACAUUUUCAUCAUUCCCACAAUUCAAUCAAAUUUCAUGGGUUUAGCAACAACAUUUUCAUCAUUCACACAAUUCAAUC
rnacentral:lncRNA from 1 species